GGGGGUGUGAGAGAACCAGACAGUUGGACUGGGGGAGUGAGAGAACCAGACAGUUGGACUGGGGAGUGAGAGAACCAGACAGUUGGACUGGAGAGUGAGAGAACCAGACAGUUGGACUGGGGUGUGAGAGAACCAGACAGUUGGACUGGGGAGUGAGAGAACCAGACAGUUGGACUGGGGGUUGAGAGAACCAGACAGUUGGACUGGGGGAGUGAGAGAACCAGACAGUUGGACUGGGUGAGUGAGAGAGCCAGACAGUUGGACUGGGGGAGUGAGAGAACCAGACACUUGGACUGGGGGUGUGAGAGAACCAGACAGUUGGACUGGGGUGUGAGAGAACCAGACAGUUGGACUGGGGGAGUGAUAGAACCAGACAGUUGGACUGGGGGAGUGAGAGAACCUGACAGUUGGACUGGGGGAGUGAGAGAACCAAACAGUUGGACUGGGAGUGUGAGAGAACCAAACAGUUGGACUGGGGGUGUGAGAGAACCAGACAGUUGGACUGGGGGUGUGAGAGAACCAGACAGUUGGACUGGGGGAGUGAGAGAACCAGACAGUUGGACUGGGAG
rnacentral:lncRNA from 1 species